rnacentral:rRNA from 1 species
CACGUAUUUAGCCGGGGCUUCUUAGUCAGGUACCGUCAUUUUCUUCCCUGCUGAUAGGGCUUUACAUACCGAAGUACUCCAUCGCCCACGCGGCGUCGCUGCAUCAGGGUUCCCCCCAUUGUGCAAUAUCCCCCACCUGCUGCCUCCCGUAGGAGUCUGGGCCGUGUCUCAGUCCCAAUGUGGCCGUCCACCCUCUCAGGCCGGCUACUGAUCGUCGCCUUGGUGGGCCGUUACCCCGCCAACAAGCUAAUCAGACGCGAGCCCAUCCUGCACCAUAUUACUUUCCACACCGCCCCAUGCGGGGCUGUGCGCCUAUGCGGUAUUAGCAGCCGUUUCCAGCUGUUGUCCCCCAGUGCAGGGCCAGGUUGCUCACGCGUUACUCACCCGUCCGCCACUAGGCAGCGCCAAUUUCCGCUCCGAAAAGUUUCCAUCGGCGCGCCCCGUUCGACUUGCAUGUGUUAGGCACGCCGCCAGCGUUCAUCCUGAGCCAGGAUCAAACU